AUUCACUCUUCUUCUUUCCCUUUCUUUUGUUUUCAUUUCAACAGCCCAAAUUCUCUCAAAUUGAAAAGGGAAUUUCAAGUAAAAACCCUAGAUCAACUCAUUUUUGGAGGCUAAAGCAAAUAGAGCUAAAGGUUUGUUGAAACAAGCUUGAAGAACCCUAACUCCUAAAAGGGUUUGGUGGAUAUUUGAAGGAAAAAGGAGGGGCAGCAGCUGGUUUACAACUAAGAUUAGUAUUAAAACCUUUAUUUUUUAUCAUAUUUGAGUAGGGAUAUCACUAAGGAUAAGGGAAAAAUACAAGAUAGUAAAAAGGAUAGCUAGCAUGUGUGAUAGAACUUUGGUUUUGCCAGUAGCCUGCAGGAUCAGUCACUUUUAAAAAUUCAUAAUUUAAGUUAGGAAAAUUGGAUUGUUGUGAUCUUUAUGUCUAUGAAAAUUUUGAUAAAUGCUCUAAAACUUUGUAGUUUCAUGCCAAACCUAAUUCCCUUGUUAAGUUAGUAUUUAAAGGCAAAACUGUUUAUUGCUCAAAUCUAGAAAAUUAACCUAAUGGUUUCUAGAAGCAGGAUAAUCAAAUUUAAAAAUUCAUAACUUGAGCUACAAAACUUGAAAUAGUGUGAUUCUUGAAUCGUUAGAAAGCUUAGUGAAUGCCCUAAAACUUUGUAGUUAUGGACAAAAAUUAAUUUUGCUAACUGCAUAGUGAUAUUGUUAUAUUUCCUAUUACUACUCUAGAUGUGAUUGAAGUUUGGAGCAGGUUACAUACUUUUGUUCAUAACUUGAGAUGUAGACUUGAUUUUGAUGCAAUUCAAAUUGGAGAUUGAAAUGGACAUAUGAAAGUUGAAUACUAGAAAAUAUAGCAAUAAAACCCUAUUUUUAUGAUUUUUGGUAGAAUUUUAAACUUGUUGCCCUGUUUACCAGAAUUGACUGGAAAAUGUAAUUAUGUGUUUUUAAUGAUAUUGAUGGUGAAGGAGUUGUGAAUAAAAAGGAAAUUGACAAGUAUAUCUUGAUUGAAUAAAUUAUAUAUAGUAUUAGUAAUGUGUAUGCCCAUCAAGUCUAGAAAUAGGUGGCAUGAGGAAAUUGACUAGUCAAUUGUUGAAAUUGUGCACAAUAACUUAGCUUUAUGCCACGAUGAGGUUACUUGGCUUUAUGCCAUGAUGAGGAUUCUUAGUUUUAUGCCAUGAUGAGAAUACUUGGCUUAUGCCAUGAUAAUGAUACUUGUCACUCGAAUUGUCUAGACAUUAUAAUUAGGCUAAGAAAAUAAUGAAAAGGGAUAUGUGAUAAAGGUUAUGCAUGAAAUGCUAUGCACCAUGAUUAUAUAUGUUAUUAAUUUGAUCAUGCAAGAAUUUUUGAUAAAUAAAAGUUAUGUCAUGUCUCAUUAAAUUGUGUUGGAUUGCAUAUAUAUAUUUGAACUAAAAUUUUUAGAAACAUGAUUAAUGAGAUUAUGUAUGAUUGGCUUGCACACAUAUUGCAUGACACAAUAUCAUUAAGUUAUAGAGCAAGUUGCUUAGCGGAGAGUUGUUUAAACUUCCUGUAGGUAAUAAAAGUAGAAAUAAGGAGGCGACACAGGAGUAAAAGUGGAUAAGUGACGUUUUGCUCAAGACUCGAGAAGACACCAUAUUAUUUUGUACACAUUAGGAGAUUAUAUUGUAUAGGCAUUUUGAUAUGUAAUGUAAUCCUUUAAUGUGUAACCAUUUAAAUUCCACAAACUGCAUGGAUAUUAUAACAAGUUUUGUAUUUUGUAAAUACUUUCAUAUGUAUAUAUUGUAAAUUUCCUAAUAUGAAAAUUUAUUCUCA
rnacentral:misc_RNA from 1 species